rnacentral:rRNA from 1 species
GACGGAGGAUGCAAGCGUUAUCCGGAAUGAUUGGGCGUAAAGCGUCCGCAGGUGGCAGUUCAAGUCUGCUGUCAAAGACCGGGGCUUAACUUCGGAAAGGCGGUGGAAACUGAACAGCUAGAGUAUGGUAGGGGCAGAGGGAAUUCCUGGUGUAGCGGUGAAAUGCGUAGAUAUCAGGAAGAACAUCGGUGGCGAAGGCGCUCUGCUGGACCAUAACUGACACUCAGGGACGAAAGCUAGGGGAGCGAAUGGG